rnacentral:rRNA from 1 species
AGAGUUUGAUCCUGGCUCAGGAUUAACGCUGGCGGCGUGCAUAACACAUUCAAGUCGAACGGUGACGAGGGGGCUUGCUCCCUCUGAUCAGUGGCGGACGGGUGAGUAACGCGUGAGCAACCUGCCCUUGUGUGCGGGAUACCAACCGGAAACGGUUGUUAAUACCGCAUGACCCAAUAGUACGGCAUCGUACAGUUGGCAAAGAUUUAUUGCACAAGGAUGGGCUCGCGUCCCAUUAGAUAGUUGGUGAGGUAACGGCUCACCAAGUCGACGAUGGGUAGCCGGACUGAGAGGUUGAACGGCCACAUUGGAACUGAGAUACGGUCCAGACUCCUACGGGAGGCAGCAGUGGGGAAUAUUGGGCAAUGGGGGAAACCCUGACCCAGCGACGCCGCGUGAGGGAAGAAGGUCUUCGGAUUGUAAACCUUAAACAACAGGGACGAACAAGAUGACGGUACCUGUUAGGAAGCCACGGCUAACUACGUGCCAGCAGCCGCGGUAAUACGUAGGUGGCAAGCGUUAUCCGGAUUUACUGGGUGUAAAGGGUGUGUAGGCGGAGAGGCAAGUCAGACGUGAAAACUACGGGCUCAACCCGUAACUUGCGCUUGAAACUGUUUCCCUUGAGUGUCGGAGAGGUAAAUGGAAUUCCCAGUGUAGCGGUGAAAUGCGUAGAUAUUGGGAGGAACACCGGUGGCGAAGGCGGUUUACUGGACGACAACUGACGCUGAGACACGAAAGUGUGGGGAGCAAACAGGAUUAGAUACCCUGGUAGUCCACACCGUAAACGAUGAAUGCUAGGUGUGGGGGCGCAAGCCUCCGUGCCGCAGCUAACGCAAUAAGCAUUCCACCUGGGGAGUACGGCCGCAAGGUUGAAACUCAAAGGAAUUGACGGGAGCCCGCACAAGCAGUGGAGUAUGUGGUUUAAUUCGACGCAACGCGAAGAACCUUACCAGGUCUUGACAUCCCGAGAAGUCGGCGUAAUGGCUGAUGUGCCCUUCGGGGAAUUCGGUGACAGGUGGUGCAUGGUUGUCGUCAGCUCGUGUCGUGAGAUGUUGGGUUAAGUCCCGCAACGAGCGCAACCCUUACGGUCAGUUGCUACGCAAGAGCACUCUGGCCGGACUGCCGUUGACAAAACGGAGGAAGGCGGGG